UCCGAGAGGCUUGUGUGUUCCAC
rnacentral:piRNA from 1 species